CCUCGCGCUCUCUCUCGCGCUCGCUCGCUCGCUCCAGUAUGUAAAUGUGUAAUAGAAGCCAAAUAUGGAGCAGUUGGCUGCCGCCGCCGCAGCUCAAGGAUCCGACUUCAUGGGGGGGGGGGGGGGAGAGGCACCCUCUGGCAGGCGGCCCGGCGAGCCGCACAGAGCACGGCGAGCGCACGGCGCGGCUGCCGGCCCGCGCCCUUAACCCUUCUAUGCACCCGGGCUGGGGCAGCGCUCGCUCCAGGGGAGGCCGGGUGUCUCUCCGCAACUGCGACUCCAGAUCCCGGACACCGACCGGAGGGAACUGUGCCUUCCAGGUUUGAGAAAGGGGCGGGGAAGUUGGGGCGAUGAGGUCAUUGGAGUGGUGACCGAUCGGUGCUCGCGCGCCUCCCCGGCUCCCUGCAACCUAGUUGGAGGGGGACAGGGUGAGUGCAGGGUGCAACUCAGGCAACCUGGGAGACUCAGAGCAACGGGUGUCAGGCUUUGACUCCCACCUGGUAAAAUACCCAAGGGGGCGGGGAAGUCGGCUGAUUCUAAUUACGAAGCACCCAGGGUGCCCCUGGUGAGCAUCUAAGAGGACUCUUUGUAUCCCCGCGGUUAACUAGCCAGCCCGCCAGUCCUGAGCCACCCGAUGCUAGGCCGGUGCCUUCUGCCUUGGCUUGCAACUCCGGAAAGUUCUCAGGCUUCCCCAGCUUGCACCGGCACCCUCACCUUUCCUGCCUGGACAAGCUGGCGACCUCCUGGGCCUCCUUUCAAAUUCUGCUGGUCUAGAAAUCUGCUAUGAGCAUCGAACGUCUCAGCUCUAGCCCUGGUAACCGAACUGCUGCUCACUCCUCACAGCUAACUGUGGACCAUUCAUCUCAUCUCAAGUGAGGUAACCCGUGCACUGAGCAGUGGAUGGUGGUUCUCGGGAAUCCAAGGCGAAAGAACUUCCCACCUUGGCCCGGUGGCUAAACGCAGACGCGGAGUCCCCACCCGCCCCCUCCGGCUACACCUCAGCCGGGUGUGAGCUCCGUGGGAAGGAAUCUUCUCCGGAGGAGUGCACCUUGCCAACAGGUGUGGCAUCCGAAGGAAGAGCCCGCACCUCCCCAGGAGGGUCGCUCGGUGUGGCGAUCUCUUUGCUGCAGAUAAUUCUUGAAGACCAGUAGGUGUCAGGCCAGCAUCUGACCUCUUUCAGGUGCUUAAAACUAAGAGUCUGGAAACUUGAUCCCUUGGUCUCGCUGGAAGCCACUACUAUUGACUGUAGCUGGAUUUGAGAGACCUUUUGGCUCAGUUUACGUAGGACCUAACAGUUAGUCACUAUCUGAAGCAGCGUACAGAGUCACCGAGAGAAACGUGUGAGCUUUUAAACUACUGUAUUGUGGAGCCCGCACUUCAGAAGUUAAAAAAGAAAUGCCGUGUGUGUGUGUGUGUGUGUGUGUGUGUGUGUGUGUGUGUGUGUGUGUGUGUGUGUGUAGGAUACAAAUCUAUUCUCAGGUUUUGAAACACCGUGCACACAUCCACGGUUGUUUAAAUAGAACUACAACUGUUCUCUUCCCCCUCCCCGCCCCCACCGCCCCUCUCCCCCGUAACUGUGUUGUUCACUUAAAGAUCCAUGAUUGUUAGACUUCAUAUGCUAAAGUGACAUUACUGGUCUCCUUACAGCCUCUAGUGGACGGUUAAAGUGAGUUUCCUGUGGAGGCUCUGUCUAGUUUUGUUUUCCCUUCUGCACUUUCUCCAGGUGAAGGUUAAUAGUUCAGAGCUUAACUGACUGCUAUCUUUCACUCCCUCUUGGUAAAGCUGUCUUUGAAACUGAACAGAAGCUUGUUGGCUGCGUGUGGAAGAGAGGCGUCUGCUUUGUGCUACAGGGUUUGGUCCAGAUGCUCAUGGCUGGCCCACCAGUACCUCUCAGAAACGCACCCUGAAAUGCCAUGACACUGAGAGCCACAGACUACACUGGUUGCGAUGGCUGAGAGGUAAGAGGGCAGUUGUAUAACUCUUGAGCAAGGUUAGUCUUGCAAGCUUCUGUUAGCCUUUCACCUUUGUAAACCAGACCAGAUCUGAAGACAAAAUAUGCCUCAGCUCAGUGCCCCGCCUACCAAAGACCAUCAAAGUUGGAGUGGUAAACAUUUAUUUAUUUUGGUCUCUUUAGAAUUGUUAAAAAGUCUUGCCUCCCACGGUAGGGAAGUGCGUGCCAAGUUUCUGCUUGGAACAAUUUGUUAUGGCUAUGCGAUAAUCCUGGAAAGUUUGAAUUUUUAAUGGAAAUCCUGACGCCAGACCGUGAACCAUGCGCUCCUACAGAAAGGGUGUUAUCCUAUAUGUCCUUUUAAAAGCUGAGCAAGCUGGGGUGGUUACGGAACAAAUACACUUGGCCAAGAUUGGGCUUCUCAAUAAGCCUGGGGAGAAAUGAACCAGAAUGAUAAAGCAACGUAGAAACAAAAGUGAAAGCCGUCCACACAAUAGACUCUGGGGUCAGUGGGCCACACCCUAGCUGAAGUCCCGAGGCUCUGUGUACAGCAUACAGACACAGACCUGCUUCAGGACCACGGGCUCGGUCUACCCAACUGCAGCAGCACAGGCUUCCUGGUGGUGAAACGACAUCACCAAUGCUCAAGAAUGGAGUGACACAGAGUUGAAGGUCAAGUCACGUGACAAAGGAGCGCACAUUUGGGUUUUGCCAUCUUGCUCGAUCUGAAUCUAAGCUCUUCUUCUUGGUGCUCAGUCUGGAAGGAAAACAAAAGGCCGUCAUACAAAAGCACCGGAAGAGGAGAAAAGGAACAGAAGGCGAUGGUGGUCGGACGUGAUGCCUAUGGAAUCGGACAGGUAAAACUGGGCAGAGAACAAAGGUGUGUGGGCCUGGGCGGUGAGAAUUAGGAGUGAGGCUCAGAACCCCGCUGCUUUAGAAAAUAACCAGAAUCCGCAUCGGUGGGGAAGCCUGUGAGAACUUCCGGAACCAGGACGCAUACCCAAUCGGAAUCUGCCUUUUAACAAGAGUUCCAGGAAUUUCUGUACGUGGUUGUACCAGUACCAGAUCUGAUUGGUACCACUGGCCUUGGGCAUAUUAGCAGAGGGGACUGUUUUGUCUAUGGAGGGAUCUGGCAUUUCCAUUGCUCCAGGAUGACUUCCACUUUCAAUAUUCUCUUUAGCACCGUGACCAAAGCCGGUAGUUUCACUCUGUCUGGGUUUCUCUGUUCUCUGAUCUCCGCAGAGAGCCCAUGGACCUCUGCAAUCUUGGCUUGGGUCUUGUGCCUCUCCAAACUGCUGAGCUUCCGGUAGAAAGUGGAUGUGACUCUGCACCCCGCCCCCCUCUAGGGGAAGGACAGCCAUGUCUGGAUUGAUAACCGGAAGCCAUGACUGAUUCUGACUUUUGUCACCCAGAUUUCAUUCAACACCGCUGACUAUUAGGUUUGUCCCCUUUCCAUUGACAGGUGCUUCCCUUGACCCUGCGGGCUCUGGACUCAGCACCCCCUACCAAAGGGGCAGAGGCCAGGAGAGGCCAAUAGAAACAUAUCACAGCACCUUCUCGCUCUUAGCGAGUCCAGGAUCCCACGUACCUGUUCUGCAAGACCAUGCAAUUCCAAAGAUGGUCUUUUCUGCCCUUUAAGUUAAAAGCAGCUUAAGAAUAAAAGAGGGUAUAAAACCAGCCCAACCAUUUUGCAUAGCUGCUGUAUUGUCCCCCCUGCCUUCCCUACUGAGGACUUUGCUGUCUGAUAUAUUUUAUAAAAACAGUCCAAUUCCCGCAGAAGCUUCAUAAUUUCUCCGGUUGCUACACACCUAGUUCAUUCUGACUGCUGAUAUUUACCUCCCGCCAUGCUCAAUUUAUAGCAGUUCGUAAAUUACAUCAAGUACAGAGUGCAUCUGCUACUGGGGUUUAAGCCAGGAUAAAACGGCAUGGAAGGCUCAACAAGGCUGACAGUUAAGGAAGGGUCCUUUCAAGUGACUAUUACUCCCUCCUAAUGACUACUAAUGAACUCACCGUGUUGUUCUCUUUCUUUUUUUCCUCCUUUUAUUGUAUGUGGGCAUGUAUGUAUGCGUGUUCCCGUGUAUGUGGGUAUGCGUAUAGUGUGUGCAACUGUCUGCAGAGGCAUCGAGUGUCUCCCCUGAGCCUCGAUGCUCUUCCUCCUUACUCUUUGAGGCAGAGUCUCUCAAUCAAACUCAGAGCUUGAUGAUCUGGUCAUCUUGCUCCAGGGAGCCUCUGCUUCUGCCUUUCAAGGCUAGAAUUAUGGGCCAGCGUGAUGACCUGGCAUUUAUACAGGUUCUAGAGAUCCGAACUCCCAUCCUUCUGCUUGUACAAGGAACACUUUUACUACUGAGCCAUCUCCCAAGUCUGAAUUAACUGUGUCUUUAAGAAUGUUUUAUCAUUUCCAUUCCUAGGAACUAUUCUGGUGAUUCGGAAAAAAAAAAAGAGGAAGAGAAAGCAAACAGAAGUGUGGCGGCACCCCAGUAGCAAAGCAAUGGUGUGGGUGUUGUUUCUAUUACUUACAUACAUAACGCUUCUCACAGAAUCCAAAUGUCUUACAAAAGGAAGCACAACACAAAUUCCGAUAGAGAUGCCACAACACAGAGCGCUACAAAGACAACAAUUACCCAAGGAAAUGUAAAUCUGGUAGAAAUCGUUUACAUAGAAAGAAUGGGAAGACACAGACGAUGGAUGCCCCACCCUCAAGAGCUCCCAAUGAUCACCUACAACAGCAACGAUGGAGGUGCCUUUAAAUAUCAACCAAGGCCAGAAUAUCUCACAGGCACACCGGCAGGAGCCUCAGGACCGGAAGAUGGGACCGGAAAUGAGCGGUGGGCUUCAUAAGACUCCUUGUCAACAGAAAGGAAGCUGGAGUGGAGACUUAGGAAGAAAAUGUCAUUAAAAUCUCAAAGAUCAAAUAAACGACUGGAUGUUCUCUGGGCACUUGUACAGACAAAUACUUCACCCUGGGAAGAGUUGUAUCAGAUGGUGGAUGCUGAGAAUUGUACCUGUUCUAAAUUCAGAGCAGCUGCUCCAGGGAAGACUCACUUAAAAGCCGAUUUACAAGUUCGGAUAAUUUCCCUAGAUCCAAAGCCAGCUUCCUUCAAAGGUGGGCAGUCCUGAAGCUAGGGAGAAGGAAGAUUAUGGAGGCUCAUCAUGACCUACGGUGUCAAGGUCACACAAUUUCCAGUAUUUCUGCCCUCUCCCUCACGCCUCCCUUUCUUCGCUCCCAUGGAGAGCCAUGCGGGUUUUAAAAGCUGGAUGGAGAGAGAUAUAUCAGCCGAGCAGGAGUCAGACUUUGCUAAGGCUGCAUGUGGGAGCCAGGAACAGGCUUGGCCACGGAUGGCUGAUCUGGAAUUUGGCACUGUGUCCUCCCCACUUUGCCCUGGAAAGAGCACUCUAGGACUGCCACUGGGAGCCCAGCCUGCAGCCUCUCUUUCGCAUUCAUCACAACUUCAGAGGUUUCCACAGGGAGACAGGGCAGAGUCCUGCUCUGAUUGGUUGCUUUCCUCUGACUUAAUGGCCAGCUCCAGCGAAUCCAUAGCCUGGACUCCAAGAACGGAAAGAUGAAUUGAAUCGCGUAAGGCCCUUAAGGGUAGGGGUGAGGGGAGAAAGAAAAGAAACAAUGUUUGCACCACCAAGAUCAAACCACGCACACCCAGCUUCUGCAGGGACCCCCCCUCCCCAGAGAACUGCUGUUGUCUUCUAGAAGCCCUACAGGCAGGUACCAAAGCAUCCUCGACGUCUUGGCUUCUAGCCAAGUUCAAACCAUUUGUAAACUAGGUCAUUGGAAGUCACAUCAAGCAGUGGAGUCCGGAAUAGGGGUGUCAGUAAGGACCUACAAAGCUGGAGGAGGCUUCACCCCUGCAACAGAAAGAAGUGGAUACAGAAAGAGGGAGUCUAUGUGAAGGGGGGCUCCCUAAGUGACAGGUUCUAGCAGAUCGUGUCUUGAGGCAUUCACAGCUGGUCAGGAGAUCAAUUGCUCUGCACAAGCCCGCAGCAGGACUUGGAUGAUAACCUUGAAUGAAAACGCGCUCUAAGGAAGCUGACGUCAUCUUUAUUCAGCUUUUUGCUCUAUGUGAUCAGAGAGCCCAUUUCAUUAAUGAGGGUUUUUCUAGCGAAGCAGCUGGUUCCUUGCCCUCGCCCCAAAGAAUGCAAUUAAAAAUACCUAGAUGCAUGCGAGAGUGCCCUAAAUAAUAAGAGGAGGAAGAUGCAUAUAAAACAAACGAUAUCCCUCUUUCCUGCUCUCAAACAUAAAGCUCAUGAUAUUCUUACUCAUGCAGACGUGGGUCAGAGAAAAGGAAACUCCAUUUUCUUGAUUAUAGAGCCGCAAAGAUACAAGGGAAAUAAAUACUUUCAAAGCACAACCUUCCUACAAGUGUCCCCUGAAAGUGGCGUUUGCUAUACUGUUUUGUUCUUUGUCCCCAGCCUCUUACAGCCUCUCUCUUCUGGUACAAAAUAAUCACCUUUCAAGA
rnacentral:sRNA from 1 species